UACGAAGGGGGCAAGCGUUGUUCAGAUUUACUGGGCGUAAAGCGUGCGCAGGCGGUUCGCCAAGUCAGGCGUGAAAUCCCCGGGCUUAACCUGGGAAUUGCGCUUGAAACUAGCGGGCUUGAGUGCGGCAGAGGGGGGUGGAAUUCCACGUGUAGCAGUGAAAUGCGUAGAGAUGUGGAGGAACACCGAUGGCGAAGGCAGCCCCCUGGGUCGACACUGACGCUCAUGCACGAAAGCGUGGGGAGCAAACAGG
rnacentral:rRNA from 1 species